AUGCAGUACUGGGAUGAAGCAAUCCAUGGAUCUUGAAAAAGCUAGCUAGGGGAAGAACAACUCCAGCUAGCCUGCUCAUACUUAGCCAUUUUCUUUUUCCCAGAUUUGAUGCUGCGGGAUCUUCAUCUGCAGGUUAAGCUAGGCAAAGGGUUUUGGCUAAUAAUGCAUGGUGAAAAACCGGCAAGUCACAGAAUGGCAAUCGACUCAGCUUUUAGAGUCUA
rnacentral:sRNA from 1 species